UACGAAGGGGGCUAGCGUUGUUCGGAUUUACUGGGCGUAAAGCGCACGUAGGCGGAUCGAUCAGUCAGGGGUGAAAUCCCAGAGCUCAACUCUGGAACUGCCUUUGAUACUGUCGAUCUGGAGUAUGGAAGAGGUGAGUGGAAUUCCUAGUGUAGAGGUGGAAUUCGUAGAUAUUAGGAAGAACACCAGUGGCGAAGGCGGCUCACUGGUCCGGUACUGACGCUGAGGUGCGAAAGCGUGGGGAGCAAACAGG
rnacentral:rRNA from 1 species